CCAAAGGCUCUUUUCAGAGCCGCCCACUUACGCUAGAGAAGAGCUG
rfam:Meleagris gallopavo isolate NT-WF06-2002-E0010 breed Aviagen turkey brand Nicholas breeding stock chromosome 1, whole genome shotgun sequence.